rnacentral:rRNA from 1 species
UACAGAGACUGCAAGCGUUAUUCGGAUUCACUGGGCGUAAAGGGUGCGCAGGCGGCCAAGUGUGUGAGGCGUGAAAGCCCGGGGCUUAACCCCGGAAUUGCACCUCAAACUACAUGGCUAGAGCGUUGGAGAGGGUAGCGGAAUUCACGGUGUAGCAGUGAAAUGCGUAGAUAUCGUGAGGAACACCAGAGGCGAAGGCGGCUACCUGGACAAUUGCUGACGCUCAGGCACGAAAGCGUGGGGAGCAAAAGGG